rnacentral:lncRNA from 1 species
AAUUUAUUGCUCUUUGAAGUGAAGGAAAAUGUACAUCAAUGUCUCAUCAAGAGAGUCUUAGAAAGAAAUUAUAGGGUUUGGGCUUAUGUUAGGUGAUUUGGAGGAGAUUUCAAGGAAGUAGGGCUUUGUUCUGGAUUGGACGCUGCCAGGAAGCAUCUCAAGCAGGAGAGAAUUCUAUAAUCGUCCAUCUCCAUCUUGUCUAGAAGGAAGGAAGAACAGAUCACGCCUAAAGCCGUAAGUGGGAAAGCAGCAGCAGGAGGGGGAUAUUUGGUACCUCUGUGCUUUGCGUAGUGACCUUGCAUUUGUCUGUUCAUAGGCAAGAUACAAAGGGAUCUUUGUAUGGUUCUGGGUUAAACUGGGCGCAAGAGAAACUUAGAAGAGAUUUGAAGAGGCGAAUGAAGCGAGAGCUGUCUCCAUGUUCUGACCGUCAGUAUAGCACGUCAGACACUGGAGCAGUUCACACACAACGUCACUGACCUACCAGCUCCCUUGGCGGGGUGAGAUAGCACCCAGGCCCACAGCUCCUCUGGCACCUGCUGGAAAUCCUCUUCCAGCUUCUCUGAGUGUCCUGGACCAGGUGUCUGUGCAGCUACAUGCAAAGGGUGCCAGCUUCUCCUGCAGGUCACUCACACCAUUGAGGUUGUGGACAGCAAGAGACAAACAUGAGUUUCCUUUUGCCCUCAUGUGUUGCAGUUUGUCCUUGCUCUGCCAACUUCACAUCCAGCUUUCCUUCCCUACUGCCAGCCCAGUUGAUUUCAGGUCCAAUACCAGACACAAAGGCAACAGGCUUGUACAGACCUCUCCCCCAGUGCCCACAACUGUAUAUGGUCAUUACAAUCUCUGAUUCUAUAUGACUCUUAGAAGUUCUGAUUCUCUGAAAAAACUCCGACUGAAAUACACUCCAGAUUCCCAGGUGACAGGAGAUCUCUCAUUCUUGGAGUUCUAUCCUACGAUGCAAGGGGCCAUGUUAUGAAGGGAGAUGGAUGACAUUCCUGCAGCACCAGAUAUGGCCAAGGGACAGGCUCAUGUCUGACUCUCUUGUCCUGACCUAGAUUCUUACAUUACUGUGAUUGAGUUCUUGCAGCUCACGAGAGCAGUGCUGGGGUAAGAAGAUUGGGGAGGGGGGGGCGGUACAUGACCAUUUGGCUAUUAACCAAGCGCCCCGAGGUGCCAUUACCAGGAUUUGGGGCCAGACUCAGCUUCUGAGGGGAUCAGAGUCUUGGCUGGGAUGACAUAAAUGUGAACCAAAUCUGAACGGCGAGGCAAGGAUGAAAAAUGACACUAAGCAGUAAAGAGAAUGUCAAGAAAGCAGUGAACAUCAUGGCCCAGGUGAGGGGCCAGGCCAGAGCUAGAGAAUGGAGAAUGUGAGCGUGGGCCCCCGUGUGAGAUGCGCCCACAGAGGCAGGUGCGGAGCACUAUCAUCACUGCUUCACACACUAUCUCGCUGAACUGUCGCAGCUCCCACAAAAGACAGGCUUUAUUAUAUCAACCUAGCAGCUGAUGGAACUGAGGUAGAGAGGGCAGCUGACUCGCCCAAGAUCACUUAGGAAAGAAGUUGAAAGACAGGAUUUGAAUUCAGAUCUCUUUGAUGGGACUUCUGCUACACCUUUCAAGCUCCAAGCUUUCUAGGCUUAAAAAAAGAAAGAAAAACUUUUGAGCGACCUGAUCAUCGUUGUCAAAUCCAGUGCUCCAGCCCCAGUGGGGGUCUCAGACGACAGCGACCUCACGUCAGCUUUAGCUCCCCGGUUCCUGACCCACUGAAACCAGGAGGGAAUGCGCAUGUUUUGUUUUAACCCAGUAAGCGUUGAGUGUAACUCAGAAGUUGAUAACCACUGCCUUGCUCUUAGAUUAAACCACGGGGAUGCGGGGGGUGGCCGAAAGGAGCAGGAUGUGAGUCAUAGAAAGCUCCAAGAAAGCCUGAUGAAAAGAAAAAGUACCAGAAAUUCUCUUCUGGCUCAGGGAAUUGUGUAAAGACACAGAGAUGGCGAGACAGGUUGGGAGACAAAUGUGUCCUGACCUCCUGUCUUGGGGCUAAAGUCUUUGAGGUCAAAGUUCUCUGACAGCCUGAGGAAGAGUAAAGUUCCUGUUUCAGUCUAUAGGGAACGAAUGUCUCCCAGGGUGCCCUGUACCAACCCUGGGCUCUCAGCCCUCUUGAGAUACAGAAAAGAUGGAGAAGUUUCCACAAGACCCCGGGGGUGGAUGGGAGGUCACUGAGAGUCUGGCUGGGUAGCUGCCAGAGAAGGACACCAUUGUGGCAAUGAGGCUGAGUGACCCAAACCAGGGUCAAAGAGAAGUCACCCCCACAUCUCAGGAGCACCAGUGCCAGCCAGAGCUGAGGUGGGGCCACAUUGGCGGGGAGGACCCAGGGAAGCAGAGAGAACACAGCACAAGUUACAGUAGUUACAGACCCCAGCACCCAAAGUCAGUGUCAGCAGAACGCCCACCACACACACCCAAGAACCUGCAGGAACUCAGAGUCCUACUGGGCCCCAGUGCUUGAAGUUGCACAAGCUUCCACGGUACCAUCUUGGAGAGGAGGAAACUGGAGAAAGGAUAAAGGAAUGAGUCCCCCCAAAAAGAGAUAGUUACUGAAAAGAUGGCUCCAAGGAUUGGAUUGGAUUCAAUUCAUCGUUUCCUCCACUAUCCAGUGGGAGCUGGGGGUGGGGCUUGAAAGGCAAAUCACAUAAAUUAUAGAAAACACUGAAGCUACAGUUUCUUGCCAUAUUUCAAUCUAGUAUAAGUAAAUAAGUGAUUCCAAUUCAUAUGCUAUGAAAAUAUGUCAAAAGAUUGAUGGAGAUUCAAAGCAGGGUUUUGUGUUAGAUCUAGAACAAGAGAACCAGAGGGGACCCCAGAAAUCAUCUAACCCCUGGUAUUGUCCUCUGUGCCUUAUCUGAUGGCACCAUGUCCCUCAUCCUCCAGUCUAUGACCCAGCAAACUCCAAGCACUGGAAAGACGGCAUGGCUUUGCCAUAUGCAUUACUUGGGAACCGUAACUUUA